CCCUAAAGCAUUUAGUUUUAGUUUUCACAAAGUCUUCUUGCUCAUUUUCGAAGAAGAAACUCACCUUCCCUCCAAGACUUGCAAUUUUGUGUUGAAGAAUUUUCGCUUGGAUUCUCAGGUGUUCAUAACUGUGAAAACAAAUGCCGUUCUUCAUUCCCUGAGAAAAGAAUGGAAAAUGCGAAGGAGUCGUCUUUCCUGAACGCUACGGUACAAUUUUCUAACACUAGAAAGCCCAAAGGUUCCUACAUGCGAUAAUAGAUCGCUUAAACAAGAAAAGAAAAUUGCUGGUCAGCUUGAACCAGAAUUCCUUGGAAAUCAAUUUGGCCUGUUCUUUGUGAAGAACUCUGUACUUCAUUACUCCUUCUAUCCUGUGGCGAAAAAACGAAUUUAGUAGGAACACCAAACACAUAAGUAAAGUUACGUUAUAACACGUCGUCUCACGUUGCAGAUUUCUUUAAGGCGAUGUUAACCAAUUCUUUUGAAUUCACACGCAUCUUGUCGUUUGUUAGAUUUUAUUUUUCUCUAACUUCCGUUACUGUUUUAAUAACCCAUU